GACGAACGCUGGCGGCGUGCCUAAUACAUGCAAGUUGAGCGCUGAAGGUUGGUACUUGUACCAACUGGAUGAGCAGCGAACGGGUGAGUAACGCGUGGGGAAUCUGCCUUUGAGCGGGGGACAACAUUUGGAAACGAAUGCUAAUACCGCAUAAAAACUUUAAACACAAGUUUUAAGUUUGAAAGAUGCAAUUGCAUCACUCAAAGAUGAUCCCGCGUUGUAUUAGCUAGUUGGUGAGGUAAAGGCUCACCAAGGCGAUGAUACAUAGCCGACCUGAGAGGGUGAUCGGCCACAUUGGGACUGAGACACGGCCCAAACUCCUACGGGAGGCAGCAGUAGGGAAUCUUCGGCAAUGGACGAAAGUCUGACCGAGCAACGCCGCGGGAGGGAAGAAGGGUUUCGGACCGGAAAACUCGGUUGGUAGAGAAGAACGUUGGUGAGAGUGGAAAGCUCAUCAAGUGACGGUAACUACCCAGAAAGGGACGGCUAACUACGUG
rnacentral:rRNA from 1 species